rnacentral:rRNA from 1 species
AGCGAACGCUGGCGGCAGGCUUAACACAUGCAAGUCGAACGGAUCCUCCGGGAUUAGUGGCGGACGGGUGAGUAACACGUGGGAACGUGCCUUUUGGUUCGGAACAACACAGGGAAACUUGUGCUAAUACCGGAUGUGCCCUUCGGGGGAAAGGAUUUAUCGCCAUUAGAGCGGCCCGCGUCUGAUUAGCUUGUUGGUGAGGUAAAGGCUCACCAAGGCUACGAUCAGUAGCUGGUCUGAGAGGAUGAUCAGCCACACUGGGACUGAGACACGGCCCAGACUCCUACGGGAGGCAGCAGUGGGGAAGUCUUGCGCAAUGGGGGAAACCCUGACGCAGCCAUGCCGCGUGAAUGAUGAAGGUCUUAGGAUUGUAAAAUUCUUUUCAGCGGGGACGAUAAUGACGGUACCCGCAGAAGAAGCUCCGGCUAACUUCGUGCCAGCAGCCGCCGUAA